GGCGCUUUCUCCAGCUUCCUUCGUCUCUCUCACCAUUUUUUUGUUGUGUGUCAUUCUCUUUGUGAAGCUGUGUAGAAAAUUUGCUCCUGUGGCUGCUCUUAUACUGUUUAUCUGUUUUCGGUAGCUUUCUCCGGCCAUGAUUACGGCCAAGCCCUUUCCAAGAGUCUUUUCUUUUAAGAAGCUCAUAGAUCUGGUGUCCUCCCUCGCAACCUUUAGCUUCUACUCUUCCUUUGUCUCUUGAAUUCGUUUAUACCAAAUCCGCCAUUGUUGUUGCUUCGAAGCUAUUACCCUACAAUAACUGUGGAAUCGUGAAAUUGCGAUGGAGAAAAGCUCGCCGGUGAGGAAACCACACACUUCGACGGCGGAUCUACGCACCGAUUCUGGUUUCUAGUGAGGAGAUAAGUGCUUCCUGAUUACAUCCACAUAAUUUGUUGUUCUUGAUUCUUUGUAGCAUCUUUGUAAAAUCCAUUGUUGAUUUUUUUUUCUAUUUUGUUGGUUUGAGCUUGUUUUACGCUGGAUCUAUGUUUUAUGUCUUGGAAUGUUGUUAGUUGAACUCAUUAUAAUCGGCGCUUUGUGGUUCGUUCUCACAGACUUGAAACCGUGAACAAGAGCUGCAUUUUAUAUGCAAUGGUUAUUUUCUAUUCUAAUAAGAAAGAGUGAUCGAUUAUAAAAUAAACUUGUUAAAAGGUUUUGAUUUUUGAUUUUGCGAAACUUGAAUUCGAUACAGACUUGAAUUGAGAUUCUAUUUUAUCAUGACUUGCAGAUUUCAUUUUGAUUUACUCGCUAUUGAUUUUAAAUGCUGCAACAAAACCUGCAAUUCCUUUUCUUCCAUCCGAAACCUGCAAUAUUUUGGUUUGGAUUUCGCAGACCAAGGCUUGGUUUAGCUUGGUUUAGCUUGGUUUUGAUUGGCUUGGGCACGUUCUCAUCUUAAUUAUCGAGAAGUGCAUUAUCUGAUUAAAAUAUUAUUUAAUCGAUUUGGAUUUUUCAUACCAAGGCUUGGUUUAGCUUGGUUUAAAAUGGUUUGAGCACUUUCUCUUUUAAUUAUCGAGAAGUGCAUAGUCAAAAUCUGUGAUUAAAAUGUUGUUUGAUCGUUUGAUCAUAAUUGAAUGUUUGGAUUGUGUUAUUACUUUGUCUUAUCAGCUGAUCUCAUCCGUCCUUUGUUUUGGUACUUUAAAGGGGAAAUGUUGCUGUGAGAAGGGAGCUUCACACGCCAGAGUCGGACUGUUCGUGCACCCAUUUGGAAUUUGACAUUGCCGGAAGUGGCCUCCCUUAUUCCCUUUGGAAGAACAGGUUCGAGCUGGGAUCCUACGCUUGUGAAUCCUUGCACAUGGUUCCACGUCACUUACAACAACGAGAACAACCUCCCUUAUUCCCUUUCUCCCUCGUAUUCCCUUUCUCCCUUAGUUUUUUGGAUUUAGUGCUGAUGCCUACGCCACAGCUUCUGCUGGAUUGUUAAUUGUAAUUUUGUAUGUGUAUUUAUUAAAUGUGAUGCUAUUUUAUGCAGAAUGCCUUGUUAA